rnacentral:rRNA from 1 species
UGGGGAAUAUUGGGCAAUGGGCGAAAGCCUGACCCAGCAACGCCGCGUGAAGGAAGAAGGUCUUCGGAUUGUAAACUUCUUUUAUGAGGGACGAAGGACGUGACGGUACCUCAUGAAUAAGCCACGGCUAACUACGUGCCAGCAGCCGCGGUAAUACGUAGGUGGCAAGCGUUAUCCGGAUUUACUGGGUGUAAAGGGCGCGUAGGCGGGGAUGCAAGUCAGAUGUGAAAUCUAUGGGCUUAGCUCAUAAACUGCAUUUGAAACUGUAUCUCUUGAGUGCUGGAGAGGUAGAUGGAAUUCCUUGUGUAGCGGUGAAAUGCGUAGAUAUAAGGAAGAACACCAGUGGCGAAGGCGAUCUACUGGACAGUAACUGACGCUGAGGCGCGAAAGCGUGGGGAGCAAACAGGAUUAGAUACCC